AGACAUUAGAGAUCACAGUUUUCAUCCAACCUUUAUGAAAUUUGGUCAGAAUUCUUGAUGAAAUCUGGGUGGGAUUGUAUUUGGGUCAUCUGGGUUAAAAAUCUAGGUCAAAUAAAUAGAAAAACCUUGUGUUGACAAUAGAGGUCACAGUUUUCAUCCAAUAUUUAUGAACUGUGGUCAGAAUGUUUGUCUUGAUGAAAUCUGGAUUGGGAUUGUAUUUGGGUCAUCUAGAGUCAGGAACUAGGUCACUAGGUCAAAUCAUAGAAAAACAUUGUGUAGACAAUAGAGGUCAUAGUUUUCAUCUGAUCUUAAUGAGUCAGGUGAGCGAUUCAUGGCCAUCAUGGCCCUCUUGUAUAGUAACACCAGUUAAGUGUCCAAUAUCAAUUUGUCAUUAAGAAAUUAGAUUUCUAGAGUUUGUUACAGACUUAUUCUCAUUAAAGUUGAGACAAUUUCCAACAUGAAUUCCACUGGAAACAAAUGGACUUUAAAUUAUAAACACAUUUCAAAUGAACAUCACAAUCAAACAUUGUUGUUCUUUCUCAAAUGUGUGCUAUGUCAAUUAUUCUUAUAUAUAUAUAUAUAUAUUAUUUACUUUUUUAUUAAAGACCAAAUAUGCCAUUGUUCUGUUUGCAACGAAUUCCGUUUAUUGACAUUUCUGAUAUGAACUUGGUCAUGUGAAAAUGGGUCUUGUGCUAGCAUGCACAUCUGCACAGGCUUGUUAGGAGCUCCAUCUAGUUGUUUGUAAAUAAUUUCUUUUAUUGUGAAGCUUGCAUUUUUGUGUCAUGAGAAAUGUUAACCCUUUCCCACUCAGAAGCAAAGUGAAAAUGGCUAUGUGCAAACAGCAUAAAAUCAGAACAGCCUGCGAGUAACUUGCAGUCUGUUCAGGUUUUAUGCUGUUUGCUGCUCAUCAGUAUCUAAGGGUUAGAAAUAAAGCCUUUAAAACUUGAAUAUAGUAAGAAAGGUCUUUAAUUAUAUUUAACUUUCUCUGGGACUACACAUGCAUCAAAACACAAAAAGGGUAAAGUAGAGAUUAUAUGAGCCAGUCUUGUGAGCAGCCACCCUUUCAUAAACAACAUGCAAUGUUUUGUGGUCUCAUUAUCAAACAGGUCAGCUCCUGACCAAACUGCGCUGGCUGGACUGGAGCUACACUGGCUGCAUAUGCAAUAAGACCCAUGUUCUCAUAUUAGUUGAGAUUAUCUUUGUUGUGAGAAAGUGCGGCACUGAGGUUUUGAAUGCUCAUUAACAUCUGCGUUUUGUUAUAAGACAGUAAUAUAUUUAUUCUUUUGUGAUAUUAUGUUUUUUACUGUGUCUUGUGUCUGUAUCUACCACUAAGAAGUCUUCUUGUACAUUAAAAAUUAAGUUACAUUUUUAGCUCACCUGUCACGAAUUGACAUGGUGAGCUUAUGUGACAGUGUGAUGUCCGACGUCCGUGCAUGCGUCCGUCAACAAUUUGUUUGUGUAGACAGUAGAGUUCACAGUUUCCAUCCAAUCUUUAUGAAAUUUGGUCAGAAUGUUUAUCUAGAUGAAAUCUGGGUUGGGAUUGUAUUUGGGUCAUCUGGGGUCAAAAACUAGGUCACUAUGUCAAAAACUAGGUCACAUAAUAGGUCAAAUAAUAGAAAAACCUUGUAUAGACAAUAGAGGUCGCAGUUUUCAUCCAAUCUUUAUGAAAUUUUGUGAGAUUGUUUAUCUUAAUAAAAUCUAGGUUGGGAUUGUAUUUGGGUCAUUGGGGGUCAACAGCUAGGUCACUAGGUCAAAAACUAGGUCAAAUAAUAGAAAAACCUUGUGUAGACAGUAGAGGUCACAGUUUUCAUCCAAUCUUUAUGAAAUUUGGUUAGAAUGUUUAUCUUGAUGACAUCUGGGUUGGGGUUGUAUUUAGGUCAUCUGGGGUCAAAAACUAGGUCACUAGGUCAAAACCUAGGUCAAAUAAUAGGAAAACCUUGUGUAGACAGUAGAGGUCACAGUUUUCAUCCAAUCUUUAUGAAAUUUAGUCAGAAUGUUUAUCUUGAUAAAAUCUGGGUUGGGAUUGUAUUUGGGUCAUCUGGGGUCAAAACUAGGUCACUAGGUCAAAUAAUAGAAAAACCUUGUGUUGACAAUAGAGGUCACAGUUUUCAUCCAAUCUUUAUAAAAUUUGAUCAGAAUGUUUAUCUUGAUGAAAUCUGGGUUGGGAUUGUAUUUGGGUCACCUGGGGUCAAAAAACUAGGUCACUAGGUCAAAUAAUAGAAAAACCUUGUGUAGACAAUAGAGGUCACAGUUUUCAUCUAAUCUUUAUAAAAUUUGGUCAGAAUGUUUAUCUUGAUGAAAUCUGGGUUGGGAUUGUAUUUGGUUAGUCAGGUGAGCGAUUCAGGGUCAUCAUGGCCCUCUUGUUGUGAACUUUAUUUUGAUCACCCAUUGCAAAACUAUGUGGAUUCCGCAUCUUUUGAAUAAGCAUUGUAAUGCAGUGAGCAUUAGUGUUGUUGUUUUUUCACUAUUUUGUUUUACAUGUGUAUUGUUUUGUAUGUUUUUUUAUGCCCCUGAUGUUGAGAGACGUAUAGGGAUUGGCCUGUCUGUUCUUUUGUCCACCCUUAUGAGGUUAACCUUAAAUGAUAUGGGCCGUGCUAUGUGUAAAAUGGGUUUAAUGCAUAGGUGUCAAGUGUCGUCUCAGAUAAGCCUGUGCAGUCUGCACAGGCUUAUCAGGGACGACACUUUCCGCAAUUAUGGUAUUUUUUGUUUAAAGAAAGUUUCAUCUAAGCAAAAAUCCAGUUUAUGCAGAAAAUGUCAUCCAUAAUUGGCCUGUGUGGAAAGUCCACACAGGCUAAUCCGCAACGACACUUUACGCACAUGCAUUAAACCCCCUUUUCACAGAGCACGGCUUAUAUGUUUCUUUGAAAAUCAAGAAACUAUGAUACUUGUAUGGAUGUUAACAAAGAGCACUCUCAACACACCUUCAUCAGCUGACCAAAUUUUGACCUUGACACUGACUUUCUAAUGGACUUAUUCAAAGGUCCACAUUCUUGGUUAACCCUAAAUGAUUGGUUUGGUUAAAGAUCACUUAUGCCAUCAACAAAGCUUUGAUGCUUACAUAAAUGAUGUCUUUGAAUACUAUACAAAUAAAUCACCUGUAUGUCUAAUCUUUGGGUUGACCUACUUUUGGUCUAAGACUCAUUCAGAAGGUCAAAAUUGUUGGUUAACCCAAAUCAACUGGUUUUGUCGCAGGUCCUCGUGGUGUAGUGGAUAUGGUGUCCGCCUAGUGAUCUGGAGGUCACGGGUUUGAUCCCCACUGUUGGAGCAUUCUUUAGAUUUCUCCCAAAGACACCAAGUACAGAUUCUAGUGCCAGGAAACGGACUUAAGAGCGUUUCAAAUAAGCCUUAGGCUUUCUGUGCAAUAUUGAGCUAAAAUGAAUAGGUUUAAACUACAUUGUAAACUGGUUUGUCAAGCAUCAAAGACUUCUUAAAAAGCUUUUACACUUGCAUGGAUGAUCCUACACACCCACAUCACAUUUGGACCUACAGAUACUAUACAUUUGGACCUAUUCCGAAGUCAAAAGUAUUGGUUAACCCAAAUUGACCAUUUGUGUCACAUUUAUAGUUCUUACUCAACUCUCAGAGCACUCACAACUCCUGACCUUAUCGUGACCUUGACCUAAUUUUGGACAUAAACAUAUACAUAUAAUGCAGAUUAUGAUACUGAUAAGACCCCACUAGGAGCAUCUGCGUUUUUUUAAUGCAGCAUCUUGUUAAUAAAUCGUCUAUAUAUUGUACAAACACAAGUUAUAAUUCACCAGAAUAGUUGUCCUUCUGAUUAUUUAAACAAAUUAUAUUUAGCUUAACCCUUUCAGUGCGGGAACCGAGUUUUAAAGGCCUUUGCAAACAGUUUGGAUCCAGAUGAGACGCCACAGAACGUGGCGUCUCAUCAGGAUCCAAACUGUUUGCUAUUCUGAUAGUAUUCUUUGAAAAAAAUCGAAGAAAAUGCUAAUUUUAGAAAUUCUGCAGACGACAUUUUAGCAGACGACAAAUUUCCCAGCAUGCAAAGGGUUAACAUGCACAUGUUCAUUCCAAAAUGUUGUAAAAAUGAUAGAAUUCUGUGUUGACCACUGUGCAGCUGAAAUUCUUUUGUAGGGUAUAUUUUCAAUUGUAUUUGUAAGCUUUCUGUUAACACAUUUAUUGCUCUUAAUUUAAGAUCAAUUUGUUGAUUUGUUUAUUAAAAAAGAUGUAUGUACCUAAAUGUUGUUGUGUUCUUUUCACAUGCAGUCAACUAAAGGAUGGUGGUGUUUGCUGAUAUAUGUUAUUGGUAUGCUUUACAAAAUAUUUUAUUUUAGAAUUGCCAGAUUUGUGAUAUUUGCUGUUUGAACAAUUUUGUAAAUUAUAAAGGGCUAGUGUUAGGUUGUAUUUGUGUGAGAUACUGAUUAGAAGAGCAAUGUCCCUUGAAGUUUAGGUUUUGUUUGUACUUGGAAUAAGGUUCUAAAAAAUAUUUUGUUUGAAAAAUAAUGUUAAUACAUGAAAUUUGUUGAUAAACAAAGGGCUUGUUUGUUUAGAAUCGUUAUAUGUUUUUCUAAGUCCCUUGUUUGUUUUCCUUCAUGUGAUGUUUUUCCCUUGUCAUCAAAAAAUUACCUUGUGAACACUCUAGAGGCCACAUGUAUUUCCCAAUCUUCAUAAAAGUAGUUCAGAAUGUUUUUACUUAUAUCUUGCUUGAGUUCAAAACUGGAUAACAUAGGGUAAAAAAACUAGAACAGAGGGAACAAUUCAAGAAAAAGCUUGUAAACAGUCCAGAAAUCACAUAUUGGCCCAGAUUCCAUGAAAAUUGGUCGAACAAUUGUCAGAUUGUUAUCUUGGUAGAGGUAGCAUCUAGGUCACAAACUGGUCACCAGGUAACAUGAAAGUACUGGUAAUGGCUUGUGAACAAUCUGUAAGUUUCAUUGUCUUGACAACUCUAGUUUCUUAUGAUAUCUCAACCAAAAUGGUUCCAAACAUGUGUUCAAAUGAUACCAUUGCCAAAUAUAUGUAUUAUUUAUCAUGAUGUCUCGUCAGAGCGAGAAAAUAAAUUCGGUCCGGUGAAAAACAUGGCUACAACAGGGCACAGCAGUUUUCCUUACAUUAUGUCUUCAGUGAAUUUUGUGGAAACCUUUAAGUCAUUUGUGAUUGCCCAAUCAAAAUAAAACUUGAUCAAAA